AACGCAUCUUGCGCUCCUUGGUAUUCCGAGGAGCAUGCCUGUUUGAGUGUCGUGAAUUCUCUCGAUCCUUCUCCCUUGUCUUCUCGGGAAGUGGGGAUCGGACUUGGAUGUCUGCCACCUCUUUCAAAAGAUGGUGGCUCAUCCCUAAAUGCAUCUAGCUGGUCCGCUGCCUGGUCCUCUACGCAAACGGUGUGAUAAGGAACACUUCUGUGACUGUAGUGCCGUUUUCCCAGAGCCCAUGGCGUGCAACCGCUUCCAAUCGUCUUCGGACAAGUAAGACUUCAUGUCAUCUGACCUCAAAUCAGGUAGGACUACCCGCUGAACUUAA
rnacentral:misc_RNA from 1 species